rnacentral:lncRNA from 1 species
ACAAUAAUAAAAAAAAAAAAAUCAGUUACUUUUACCUCCACAUCCUUAAUUUGUGCAGUCUGGUAGGUUUUGCCCAUCAUCCUCACAAAGAUAAUGAACAUGUUCAGCAUCCAUUAAUGCUUUCUCAGGAACCUUUGUAGUCUGCCCCCUCCUGCCCAUUUCCUUGUUCCAUUGUAUACUCAGCCAACAAUUGAUCUGCUUUCUGUGCCUCUGGAUUAGCUAGCAUUUUUCUAUACUUUUAUGGAAAUAAACUCAUACAAUACAAGCUCUUUUCUUUGUUCAGAACAAUCAAUCUAUUUUAUUUCUGAGUGGUAUUCUAUUGCAUACAUAGAUUUAUCACUAUUUGUUGUUUUAUAUACAUUUUUGUUUUUAAUGAACAUGGAAUUAUAUAUUUACUGGAUAUAGUGCCACAUUUCAAUAUAUUUAUUCUUCUUAUUUGUCCUUAACUUAGUUUCAUAGCUUAAAGAUAACCCACUUCAGUGUUCUCAAACUUUGUGGCCUAUUAGAACUAAUCUGGGAAGUAUUUUAAAAUGCCAGUGCUCCAAAUCACAGACCAGAUCAAUUAAGCCAAAAUCUUUCAGAGCAGGCCAGAUACAGUUAUUUCAUUAAACAUUCCCCUAGAUGAUUCAGUGCACAGUGAAGUCUGAAAAAUACUGACAUAGCCUAAUCUUAUUGGCAAAUUGGAAAGUUUGACUGUUUCAUGUUCAUUAGCUUUGCCUUCUCAACCCUAGUUAGAGAAAUUUUUGCAUUUACUUAGCAAGAAUAACAUAGUCAUACAUGGUAGACAUGCAUAUAGCAACCCAUAAGUAAGCUCCAUUUUGCAGUGGUCUUUAUUACUAGUUUCUCAAGAACCAUUUCAGAUAUUCAAACGUUCUAGUUGGCACCCUCUCUGAUGUGAUCUAUCAGUAUGUAAUAGAUACUGAUCUAUUGGUAUCAGGCGAGGCCUGAGCUUCAUGUACAAACCAGAGCUGAGAAUCACUUACCUAUUUCCAGAUAAAAUGAUAUGUGAGUGAACACAGCCUGUCAUAACAUGUCAGACCUUUUAAUGUCUAAAGAUGAAAAAUACUAUUUAAACAAAUUUAUUUACCAAUUUACUCAAUAACAGUCUUAGUGUGCCUAAGAGUUUUUGUUGAAGGAAAGAGUAUUGUCUGAAUUAUGAAUUCUGUUACCAAAGGCACCAGUGGGCAACUAAUCUAUCACUGUACCAAGGAGCCCUAUAAAACAGUGCCAUGUUAACUUGAAACCAGAUAUAGAAAUACAAAUUGUAGCCAAUGUGUUGAAGUAGAAAAGUUCUUCAUCACUCCUUGUUCUAUAACUCUACAUUUCCUAAGGUGUUUGUUUUGGUACUGGAGAUUGAACCCAAGGGUGUUUUACUUCUGAGGUACAUCCCCAGCCCUUUUAAUUUCAUUUUAAAACUUUGAGAUAGGGUCUUGCUAAGUAUGAGUAUUUGAGAUUCUCCUGCCUCAGGCUCCUGAGUUGCUAGGGUUACAGGUAUGUACCACCCUGCCUGGUGCAUUGCCUAAGUUUUAAAAGUGAAGCCCUAUGAAUGUAUUUUUUCAUUUGAUAAUAUGUUUAUUCACUUGAUUUAUCGCUGCAUUUUCUAAUGCCAAAGACACCUCAAGCUAUUUUAGCCAAACAUUCUAAGUCCAUUCUAUCCCGGUAUACCCAGUUUAUCUCCUUAGUUUACCCUCCUCAGUUUCUACCUGCCUUGUCCCAACCUAUUCCUAUUUCAAUUGGAGGCAUGGCAUUAUUUGCUUUCUGGAUUGACAAGUUUUACAUCCUAGUAAACAAAAUGAGCAGGAACACACAUAAAGAAAAAUAAGUUAGUUUAUUUUUAUUAUUUCAGAAGGCAAGAAUAUAUCCCUGAAUAAUUAUGAGAUAUUUUACUAAGUAGAGAGGUAAAAGGGCCUCCUUUUUGGAUUUGGACUUGUGCUAAUGGUUCUAGAGUAGACUUCAGGAAGCAAGGCCAGUGCUAGAUUCAAUGUUGUCAAGAAGUGGGGUCAACUCAGUAACAGCGACAUCAUUAUUUUUUAUUUAGGGAAUAAGAGGAUUAAAGUAGGUGUAAAUCAGAAAGAUCAGGAGUAAAGGGGCAAUAUUCAACUUCUGUUAACUAUAAGAGAGGGUAUAUUUACUCUUCUUUAUUGUUUUGUAUAGUAUCCAUGGACCACUAGCAUUGAAAUUAUUGGUGGUGUUGCUAAAACCAGUAUUCUAAACCCUACCCUUAUCCUGUGAGAACAGCAUCUCUGAGAGUAGGGUAGGGCAUUCAUCUGCUAGUGAUUUUCAUGUAAAUUGAAGCUGAUUUAUUAUCUCUGACUUCUGUGUUUGAUGCAUAUACAUUUUAGAAUUAAAAACUUUUAAGAAGUUAAGCAAUUUGACCUGUUCCUCCUUAUGUUCCUAUCAUCUAGAAGAGUGGCUGACAUUUAGUUCAUACUCAAUAACUGGUGAAGUGAGUCAAUAGAAAAGAAUCUGAAGUCAUAGUCUCAAAAUAGGAAGACAAUUUAGAGGUCAUUAAGAAGCAAACUUUGGAACACAUUAGAAUCCUGGCUUCACUCAUGAGUGUUUAACCUUGGAUAAAUACUUAAUCCCUCUCUUCCAAAAUUCUCAAGAAUACCAAAAAAAUUGUACUACUUUACUAUUCAGUAAAAUAUAAAUGAGUUUAAAUAUAGAGAAUGCUUAGAGCAAUUCUUGUCUAAAACACCUGAAGAAUUUAGUAAAUUGUGACAUAGCACAAGCCAGCCCAAGGGCAGGCAUCUAAUCAGUCAGAUCCAAUUCAGUUUUUCUCACUCUUCUUCCAAUAAUUUUUAUAUAAUUUGGCAGAAAGACAUCAGAAGGUUCUUCCUUUCUAAUAUCUCACCAUAGUACUAGUCUUUCAUAUACAUGCAGAAAUUUCCAUUAUUGUAGUCAUUUUUCUAAAUCAGUGAAAUGGUGAAUGUUUGUUAAUAAAACAAAUACCUGUUACCCAUAAUGAACAGGAAAUCAUAAAUGGUGGCACAUGUCUGUACUCCCAGCAACGUGGGAGCCUGAGGCAAGAAGAUUGCAAGUUCAAGACCAGCCUCAGCAACUAAGUGAGGCCCUGUCUCAAAAUAAAAAAAGGAUGGGGUUGCGAUACUGCUCAGUGGUUAAGCGCCCCUAGGUUCAAUCUCUAGUACAACAACAACAACAACAAAAAGGCAAGCAAUACAAAUAAAAUCAUACAAUUUUAAACCCUAAAGAAGUUCAUUUAGCAGUUUCUGUUUUUUUUUUAAUACCUUUUUUUAAAAUUAUUAUUUUUAUGUGGUGCUGAGGAUUGAACCCAGUGCCUCAUGCAUGCUAGGCAAGUGCUCUUCCUCUGAGCCACAACCCCAGCCCCUUAGCAGUUUCUGUUUUACUUUUUUUUUCUUUUGAGAGAGAGAGAGAGAGAGAGAGAGAGAGAGAGAGAGAGAGAGAGAGAGAGAAUUAUAAUAUUUAUUUUUAGUUUUUCAAUGGACACAACAUCUUUCUUUGUAUGUGGUGCUGAAGAUCGAACCGGGCCCCGGGCCGCAUGCAUGCCAGGCGAGCGCGCUACCACUUGAGCCACAUCCCCAGCCCUCUGUUUUACUUUUGUUGUUUAGUUAGUUUUAUGGCAAUGCACUAGACCCCUUCCUGAGAUAAGCAUUGAUUAUAAUCAUAAUGAAGACUGGAUUGACCACUGUCCCACAGAUGCUGGCAUUUUAAAGGAAGAACAAACUAAAAGCUUCAACAUUUCAGUCUCACCCUUUGAUCUACAUUGGAAUCACAGUGGGGUUUGAUCUGAAGUGGGCAUUUUUUUUUUUUUUUUUUUGCGGGGGUGGGGGGAGACUUUAAUUAACUCUGAUAACUAAACAAACUUCCUGGUUCUGUUUCUUCCCGUGGAAGAGCAUCCCUGGAAAGAAAGCACUUUGUUUUGAGCAUUUAUGGGAGGCGCCUUGGAAAGGCGUCAUUUGCACUUCAGCACUGUAGAAAAAGGAAGGGGGGUGGGCAAAUAGGGUAUAGCUAAGAAGUCAUAGAGGUUAGAAACAAAGAUGUGACAAAAGGAGCAAGGCUAAGGACAGGGUAGAAAGAAAAAGUCACCGGGACCUGAAGUCAGUCUAUCUGACUAGAAAUCCUCAAGGAGAGGAGGCGGGGUUCAGAGACAAACUGGUCUUAGCUGAUCCGGUCUUCAGCUUCCCGGGCCGGGAGUCGCAGACUGGCCUGGGAGGCCACACCCAGGGCCUGGCAGUCCCGCGCUUUUCCGAGAGCAAUAGGAGUUUCCUGCACGAACUGGUGAAAGAACCAACGUAUGAAUGAUCCUCCUGCCAGGAUGGGGACCCCGGAAUCCCAGGGGUUUGUGCCUUUUACGGACUGCCCCCGCAGCCAGCGGGACCCCGGGUCCUCUCGGUGCGAGGUGGGGCGCGAGACUCCCCUGGCUCCCGGCGCCCGGGAUCCCGCACCAGCGGUGGCCAGCGGAAGCCUGGGCGGCUCCCAGGACUACAGGUCUGAAGGUCCAGCCCUCGGACCACCAGCCAGAGAGAAUUUGGAUUGUGAGUCCUGGGUGCGAGAGAAAGUGCUCUUUCUUCUGCACCCAGAAAGGUGGCUGGGGACUCAAGCGAACCCUGCAGGCGGAGACGUGGUCGGUGAGGAGGAACUUCCCCAGGCGAGCGGAGAGAACCACGACCAGGAACCCGACUGCUCUUCUCUCUUUCAAGGACAAAAGAGAAUUUCUGGCAGGCGAAUUAUCGCUCCUUCUGGAGUUCAGCCGCGAGACCCUGCAGCGCCACCCAAAUCUGUACUUGUGCGGGUCGUGGAUUAUCAGGCGACGCAAGAAGUGCUGCGGACUGCAUGGACGAAGGGUCGCAUGACCACGAGGACCGAGGAGCACUGCAUGACAGCGGUCACUUUUCGCACCAACAGAGAGUGAGACAUCGGGACCCCUGCCGAACCCCAGGCCCUCCUGAACCCCAGAGGCACCCAGCGUCCACGCAGGGCAUAGAGGAUGUUUUCACCGCCAGCGAGGACCUGAUUCCAGAGCAGAUUACACUGCGCAGAGGAACCUGAGGAAUGUUCCGGCAUCCUGGAUGAGCGAUAAUCCUUGAAAGAAAAUGCUGUUCCGGGGUCCCAACUUGCAAUUAACCGAUGGGAAGAAACUUGUAAGAGGCUGGCGGGAGCUGCGCUGCAUGGAGGCAGUGGGCGCCCAAAGUAGCUUGAAGAUCUGUAAACCGCAGGACCUCUGUGGCUGAAGUACCGUGAGGUUGUAGGGACCUAAGUCAUUGAGUUCGAUAGAAGGUAUUUUCAAAUUGGCAGAAUGCGGGAGCUUCGAAAUAAGAAAAUCGUUUUAAUUCGCGUUUUGCAAUAGCUCUUUUUUUGUGCCACCUUCGCCUCCCCUUUAAGGCCUAAAAGCUGAAGUGAAGUUUGAGAUCUGCUCCCCAGGAAGUUCAUAGGUGGGUGGGUGGGUGGAGGAGCGGGGGGGGGGGGAGACUUGUUUUAAAAGUUGAAAAAGAACAUUAAAUUUUAAAAAGUAAACAUAAAAUGAAGCAUCAAAUAUAGCAAAAUUUUUCUUGUUACCCUCUUCUGAUGUACAAGUCUUCAUCCCCCACCCCUCCAUAUUUCAGUGUUAAGAAGAAAAAGAGAGGAGCUAGGAAAAGAAGGGGGGAAUCGAAAAUUGAGCUUUGAAGGUAAAUGCCAUUUAAAUAGGGCUUUCCCCCAAACAAUAUAUAAUUUAGUCCAGUUAAAUACCUUUAAUUUGGAUUUUUAAAAAUUAUUUUAAUGUUAAAAAUACAGCAUAUAAAUCAUCCAAUCUAAAAAUAGAUAGAAAUACUAUAUAUAAUGUGCCAUAAGAUGAUUGUAUAACUUAUUCUUGUCCAUAGCUCAUUAUUAAUAAGAUUUGUAGUCAAGAAUAGAUCCAUAAUACUUCUUUCCUGGUGCUAUUGAAACAAAUUGUUUUCCUUAUUUUAUGUAUUCUCUUUUGUUAUUAAAAUCCAUCUUUGCUAACUCUUUAGAAUGUGGCCCUGUUUGGAACUCUGCGUGACCUUGUUGCUAUUGAAGGAGUUGUUGGUUGCAAGGGACAAUUAACGAAAGUGUGGGUCUUUGGCUUUUGAAGGGUAAAUGGUUGAGCAGCGCAGGAACCUCAGACUCUAGGACUUCCCAUUUGCCCUCAAUUUUCAUUUAGAGUUUGAAAUGCCCUCAAAAGAUCAUCUGAUGCACCUCUUGCCUCCAUGCAGGCAAGAUAAAUAAGGUCACUGUUUUACAGAUGAGCCAACUUUGGCUUAGAAGUCACACUGUUGCCUGUGUAGGUCAAUCAGCAAGUAAUUGCAUGUGCUUACCAAACAAAGAAUGUGAUCAUCUCCCUCCCAAAAGGUUGGGAUGACCUUUAGAGAGACUUAUUUCUAGAGGUCAAAAGAUGACUGUGGACAUUAUGAGUUUUCUAACUUAUGGUUAUGAAAAGAACUAGCAUCACCUGAUGUCUUUGAAGCCUAAUCACCUCUACCCUUUUCAGGCCUUUGAAACCCGGGUUAAGAAAGGAAUUCAGCACCUGGGCUUAUGUUCAAAACUGUCUGGUAGGCAGAAAAGGGAAUAUUGGCCUCUUAAAAUGAUUUUUUUUUCCUCUAGCAACGAUACCAGCCUCCUAUGUAAGACUAACUUUGGCAGGUAAAUAUUAUACCUGAAUUUGUUGAGUUAUCCCAUGUGCCAGGUGAUCGAGCAUUGGAUUUAAACCAAAAAUAAAAACAAAAACUUUUAAAAUUACCCAAAACAUUAGCUUCAUUUGGUUGACUUCUCUCAGGAGGUAAACUCUGGAGUUCAAGAGUUGGGUUGGGCUUAGAACUGGCUUCCUGUUACUAACUGUGUAACCUUGGGCAAGCUGGCUAAUCUUCAUGUGCCUCUCUGGCUUGUUUGUUAAAUGGGGAUAAUAAGUAGUGUCAUAAACUUUUUUCUAGGAUUAAGUUAAAUGAAAAUACUUAAUACUGCCUAGCAUACAACAGAUGCUUAAAAGCUAGUGAUUAUUGCUAGUGUGGUUGUUAUUUAGCUCACUUUUCACUCUAACCAGGCUUUAGUUUUUUAUUUAAUAACAAAGAGCAGAACGCAUAAAACACAAAAAAAUCUAGUGAAAGCCAAACCUGUGGUUUUUACUAAGAUUUUCUUCUUAUUCCUGAAUUUAUUUCUAUGUUCUCCCCAAACUUAACAGAUCAAUAAGUACAUUCCUUAAAUUCCUUAGAAGCAUGUCUGCAGCUUGUAUAAGGACUCAUGCAAAGGCUUAAAGGACUAGGGUGCAGAUUGCUUGGCAAAGUCUUUGAAAAGGUUGAAAAACAGUUCUUGGCAGAUAGGAGCUUUGAAUAUUUUCUUCAGGGCCUGUUGGGUUACCUUGUUUUCUCUCUGGAAUUUAAAAUCUGAUGUCCUGUCAUCUAUAAAAGGCAGAAUAGACACAAAUGGUUCUUAAAAAAAAUUCUGUCAAAAAUGUAUUUUUUAAAGUUUAAUUAAUAUUUUAAUCCAAGUAUUUUUGAAUUAAUUGUAUCUUCAUUAAGUGAAACAAUAUUUUUAAAACAAUUAUCCAACCUCCCUGUUGACUGCCUGCAAACUGUUCAUAGAAUUCCUUUAAGACAGAUGUCUCAUUGCCAACAAAAUAGUAGUAAGUUGAAGUUCUGUUGAAUUUGUUUUACAGAUAUCCUGAUCCUGGCAGAAGGCUAUUGUCAUGUGUGCAGGGAACCUGAGGAAACUUUUCCCAUUCACAAGUGUCCUGAGAGUGCAUCCAAAGUGAAACUUAUCCUCAAUGCUAAGAAAUCUCUCAGAAUGGCUGGGUCUUAGCUCUUUGAUCUUACCUCCACCUCAAAGAAAAAUCUCCUCACUUAAAAUUGUAUUAGGUGGAUGAAUUGCAUCAAAAACUUCCAGAAGCCACUUGGCCAUUUGAGGGACUAUAAGACAAAUGUCACAGUCACAUGAUCACCAUGGAUCAGGCAAAUGUCCACCUCUCAAAACCCUUAUCUACAAUCUUUGUCACUUUGGAUAGUCAUUACUGGACUGCAGCUUUUAUUCUUGUUGGAGGACAUCACCAGUGCUUGGUGCUUAAACUUGAUGUUUAAGCUUAAGUUUUUUAAACUUAAAAAACAAGAAGGAAGAAAGAGCUUUCUAUUAAAAGUUUACUCAUGCUAAAAAUUUGAUGAGUACUAUUUAAUGAGGAAAAAGAAAAACAGAAUAAAAAAGGCCUGGCACAAUGGCACACGCCUGUAAACCCAUUGGUUUAGGAGUCUGGGGCAGGAUGAUUGAGAGUUCAAAGCCAACCUCAGCAACUUAGAGAUCCUAAGCAACUCAGUAAGAUCCUGUCUCUAAAUAAAAUAUAAAAACAAAAAGGGCUGGGGAUGUGGCUAAGUGGUUAAGCACCCCUGGGUUCAAUCAAUCCCUGUUGCCAAUCAGUAAAUAAAUAAGGAAAGAAAGAAAGAAAACAAAACAAAAACUGGGAGCAGUGGAGAAGGUCUGUAAUCCCACCACCUGGAGGCUGUAGCAGAAUGACGGUAAAUUCGAGGCCAGACUCCCCCAUUUAGCAAGGCCCUAUCUAAAAAUAAAUAAAAAGAACUGGGGAUGUAGCUCUGUGAUAGAGUACCUCUGGAUUUAAUUUUAGGACUGAAAAAAAAAACAAAAAGGAAAAGAAAACCAAAAUUUUCCCAUGAUUCUAAAACUUUUGUAAUAUUUGGUAUGUUUUCAUUAUGGUUUUAUUUCAAUCUAUUUUUAUUUGUAUAGAUAUGUAUGCUAUUCUAGCAUAAACUAAAUAGUUUUACUUUUCUGGGUAUGGUCUUCACAUGAACUAACAUACACAAGGUAUGGUUUGUGAACCAACAACAAUAUGCAAAAUCUCAGGCCCACUCCAGAUCCACUGAGUCAGAUUUAGUAUUUUGAAAAGAUCUCUGAUGAUUCAAGUUAAAAUUUGACAAGAUUUGACAUAUCCUUCAUCCUUAGUUCUGAGUCUUAACUUUGUUACUUAUCAAAACUAAGAAAACUUUAUUAUUUCUCUAUUUCCUACUAAUAAUUAGCAGUGCCAUGACAAUAAUAGUUUGUAGAAUUAUGGAAACAUUUAAAGUUCAUAGUAGAAGUGAAAUAUAGUAUAUAGGGACUUUUUAAAUUGGCAAAAGGCUUUCUAAAAAGCAUGUUAUGUCUUUUUAAAGAGCCUUCUUAUUCUAAAGUGUUCCUAAUGAACCGUUGAUUGAUUACUGGGUUUUAAACUAUUUCAGAAACGAAGUUCCUUCAUUAUCUAAGAAUGUAAAAUAAUAUGUUCUCCAAAACCCCCUAGGGGAGGAAGGGCAGGAAGUCUUAAAGACAGCUCAAUUGCAACAGGUCUGCAGGCUGAGUCAGGACCUGUGAGCUACUCUUGAUGCAUUGUGAGGGGGUGGGGUAAAGGUGGAGACUGAAUUUGAAUCAACUAACAGGUAAGAAAACAAAGGGCUGUGACUCUUGAACACCCUGACAUCUCCAAAACCACAGACAGGACUUCGCUCUUUAAUUAGGGAGGGCAAAUCUUUGUUAAUUUACUUUUCUAGAUGAAGAUAAACAAACACAGUCCAGGUUACUUUGAGAGAGUUAUGAUCGGUUAUUAGGUAUUAUGCAGUCAACAAUUGCCAACAAAACAUGAGACUUGAUUGUAUUCAAAGCAAGAGUUGAAUUUAAAAUCAAACUCCGAUUUAUAAAUUUAAAAUACAGUAACAAUUAUUUGAGGAGAGUACAGACUUCAUAAAAACAGAACAGAAGCUGUGUGUCCUGAACUUGGUGUGGUAUGGCUGGCUUGCCACCUAUGCCUGUAGUCAGCAAGGAAGCAAACGCAGGGGUCACAGGACCCUAACCUUUCUUUUCUUAGAGCUUUAGAAAACUUGCUAAUGUUUUUUUUAAAAAUAUAUAUCUAUAUAUUUUUUUAGCUUUAGGUGGACACAGUAUCUUUAUUUUAUUUUUAUGUGGUGCUGAGGAUCGAACCCAGUGCCUCACGCAUGCCAGGCGAGCGUGCUACUACUUGAAGCAUAUCUCCAGCCCAAACUGGCCACUGUUAAUGUUCUCUGCUGGCCCCAGCUGCCUGCCAGUUUUACAACUCAGGACUGUCUUUCUCUGGGGCUUAGGAGCCAUCCUUUGAAAUGUAAUCAUUAAGGAAGUUAGGGCCCCAAAUCCCCAGUGUUUGUGGAAGAGAAAGAGUCCAACAUUUAUCUGUGAAGUGUCAAUUAGCAAAUACAGAUGGCCUAACCACAUUAGCCAACCUCCUACUUUCUCAUUAAUUUAACCCACUGCUUAAAAACUCUCCCAUCAUUUAUUUCAAAGGAAUUGAGUUCGGUUUCUCUUCCCUAACGGCAUAGUCUUGAGUAAAGUCUCCCUUUGCUUACCUCUGUCCUGUGAAAUUUUUUCUUCUACAAUAGUGAAAAAAAGAAGCAUUUUGAGUGUGGACUGAUGGAAUCCUAUUGGCAUGAGGAAGCUGGAGGCCAAAUAUCUAGAAGGGCAGAUGGUAAUGAUAUUGGGUUCAAUCUCAGCUCCUUUUAUGAUUGAUUUAGAGUUUUUUCUCAGACAAGUCUUGAGUUGGAAGGGUGCAAAACCACAGGAAUGCUGACAGUCAUUGACCAGGUUUUGCUCUUUUGGACUGAUUCCUGCAAAGGCUGUCAUUGGCUUCUUAGGCUAGUUGCCGAAAAAGUUGUAGGUUGGCAUUUUGCAGUAAAUAGUGUCAACCUCAUAGGGUUUGUUUUCUAGGAUUAAGUUAAAUGAAAAAUACUUUGAACAGUGCCUGGCAUAAAAUAAAUACUCAAAAUUAACCAUUAUUAUUAUUUAUAAUAUUAAUGUUGUUAUUGUUUACUUCAUUUUCCUCUAAACCAAACUUUAGUCUUUAAUGACAAAGAGCAGAAGAUUUAUAACACAAGAAUAUCAAACUUAAGCCAGAAUUUUUAUUAAGUCUCUUUUCUUUAUUUUUUCAAAUGUUAACAUGUCUGCUCUGGCCAUUGUCCAUUUAUAGAUUCAGCCUUUCUCUAACUUUGUGUGUAUGUAUGUGUGUGUUUGUGCAUGUCUGAAUGUACAUUCACAUGCACUAGAUUUGGAACCCAGGGCCUUGCAAACGCAUAGCACACUGUCUACUAAACAGCUACACUUUCAUUUGCAUUAAUUUUAGAACAAUCUUGAAGUUAUCCUUAGAAACCAGAAGACUCAGUUACAGAAUUCUGGGAGAUUUAGUCACAGAAUUCUUCUUUGACAUGACCACGUUACACAUAAUUGCUUAGAAACAUUCAGAUCAUCGCAUUGCAAGUCAUUUCUUUAUGGAAGUGAAGUAUGCCUUGAUAUCCUGUCUGUUAGCACCCAAAAUACUGUCCAAAGGAUUAGUGCCACCUUAGUGGACCUGAUGUAAGGCCUGCAUAGAGUCUACCUAGGCAUGGAACAUUAUCCAGUGGCCACUGAAGUUAUAGGGCAGUAAACCUAAUCUUAAAACAGCAUAUCUUCCCUCUGGCUCAAAACUCUGAAUGUUAAAGCUGCUUUGUAUGCCCAUUGGACAAUCCUCAGGUAUAUGUUCUGCUUUAUGACUUUGAACUUGUUUUGAGAUUACUAGGCACCUAUAAAAGUAGGUAUGAUUUAAAACCCUGAAUUCAACUUACUUGGGAAAGGAGUAAGCAAUAUAGGGGGUAUCAGAGAACUUCCCAGGGAGGGCUUCUGAAUGCUGUCAACUUCUUUAAGGAUUCUCCUACAACCUGUAUCCUUGUCUCAGAAGCCCAGAGCAUAUCCAUGGACUUCCCAGCCAGCCUCAGUGUUGACUCAGAUCCUGGACCUUAUAAGGAUUCAGGAUAUAGUCUUACCAUCCCAACAGACUGAAAAAAUAUACAAAUUUAUAAUGAGAUAAUCUUGUAAUAAAAUCGGUCAUAAUUCUCCUCUUUGGGUGUUAUGUUGGAGAGGAAGAAAGGGUAUUCUGACUUAUAUUCAGUUGGAUGCCAAGGUUUAGGCAAUUGAAGGGGAUGGAGAUUCCCAAAUAAUAAACAGUAAGUACUGCAUUGUCUUUAGACAUUUUCAAACAAUGAUAAAGCCAGACUAAAUAUCUGCUUUUUAUUAUUACUAUGUGUUUUAUGAUAACAUACUUUUCUCCUGGUCAAAAAAAAAAAAAAAAAAACUAUUGUUGAUCUAAAUUCUAAAAAACCUGCAAUUGUUGUUUGAAUUUUAAUCACAAGGGUAUAAGCUUCAAAUCAGUAUAUUUUAAUUUUCCUUUACUUUUUUUUUCUGUGUGAAUGCUUGAAGAAGUCUUAUUGUUGUCCCCCAGUACCUCUGUCUUACUGUCCAUCUCUCUGCAACAUAAUUAUACACACACAGACUCAGCUAUCUGCGUUUAAGAGUAAAUUCCUAAGAGUUUACAAUCUUUCAAGCGGGCUUUGAAUUCACUUUAUGUCUCCAACCUUUCUCUAUUUCUGCAUUUCAAGAGUAGAUUCAAAAUAAACAACAACACAGCUAUUGUAUGACAGUCUAUGUAACUAUGGAAUGCAAAAUUUACAAUACAGAAACAAUUAAAUAUAAUAUUUUGUUUUAUAAGUGCCAAUUGAGUUCGCCAGUAAAUUACUGAUUUGAUAUAUCUUUA